UUAUUUUUUUUAUAUUUAUUUUCUCUUUCGAGCUCAAACAAAAAAGAGACUCGAAAGAGCCCUAGAAAAGGCUGCCUCUUCUCUUUCCUCUUCAUUUCUCUCCUCCUUCAAAUCCCUAUUUACCAAAUUUAAUCUGUUUGUAUGUUUUUAAGAAAAAAUUUGGAUUUAGUUUAAAGGAUCUUAGCCCCCAAUUCAAAUCGGAAGUCACUUUGUUUUUUCUAUCGAAGCCUCGAAGUUGAAGUUGCUGUUUCUGCCUUGUCCAGGGUCCAGUCAUUUAGCAUUACUGUUGGUACAUUAGAGAUUUCAUCAUGCCAAAGGAGAGAAGAGAUCGAUCCAUGUCUUUUGAUAGGUAUAGGAGAUCUCCCUUUUCAUGUAGCUCCAGCUGUAGUCACCGAUGUUCGCCAAAACUCCCUUCAGAAACUGAGGAAAAUCUAAAGGAAUGGGAAGAAGCCAGGUGCCCUGUCUGCAUGGAGCAUCCUCACAAUGCAAUUCUCCUCAUAUGUUCUUCCCAUGAGAAGGGCUGCCGUCCAUACAUGUGCGACACAAGUUAUCGCCACUCUAACUGUUUUGAUCAGUUUCGCAAGUCAUUUGCAGAUACCUCAGCAACAACACAAGAUCCUCAACAAGAAGGAGCUCAACUCGCAACUACAAACUUAUCACCGGUGUCAGCUGCAACUGCAACUUCAGAAUCGACUGUCACCGAUUUGCAGGAAGAAAGAAGUGAGGAAGUUCCUGCAAGAAGUGAGGAAGGGUACUCCACCCCAUCAACUGUCUCAUGUGAGAAUCAGGUUCUGUCAAAACUAGUGUGCCCUCUAUGUCGUGGUGAGAUAAAAGAUUGGGUUGUUGUAGAGCCUGCCCGCCGUUUCAUGAAUGCCAAAUCUAGAAGCUGUUCCUCUGAAACAUGUAAUUUUAGUGGUGCCUAUAAAGACCUGAGGAAGCAUGCAAGGCUUGAGCACCCUUCUGUGCGUCCAUCAGAGGCUGACCCUGAGCGACAGCGAAAUUGGAGGAGGUUGGAGCGCGAGAGAGACCUUGGGGACUUGAUCAGCACACUUCAAUCUUCAUUUGGGGAGGAGAGUGAUGGAAGUUGGCUCACUGUAUUUUUCCUUAUUCGAGUGUUUCGACCAGGGUCUAGUCCUAGGAGCAGCAGCUGGUCUGGCGCCUCAAGGGCGAGAGCUCAAUUGAGUAUUAGGAGGAGGUCUACUAGAUAUUGGGGGGAAAGCUAUGAUGGGGAAACUGGAUCAACCAGAGACGAGGACAAUGAGUCUUCAGAUGGUGGGUCAUUUCCUUGGAGGCGCCGUGUAAGGCGACGGACAACUCCUGACAACCAACCAUAACUGUAAUUGUAUCUUUAAAGGGAUCUGUUUAUUGUUUGAAUGUGAAAGUUUAAAUUGUGGGACAGGGAGAGGAUUUGAUGUGUAUUGGUAGAGCGUCUGUAUCUGUUCCGCACAGCGUGGGACAAAUUUGGUCCGAGUUACUGGAUGGUAUUAAAUGAGUGAAGUAAAAUCUUAAUGUAUCUGGGAACUUAAAUCAAUCAGUAUCCCUUUUUCUUGCGCAGCAAUUUCAUUUUCUGUCUUUUGUGGCUGCAAUAAUCUCAGGGUUUUCCCUUCAACUAUUGAGGGAUUAUUGUUUCU